CCUCUUUCGCGCUGGCCCGCCUGCUCCUAUAUUGGAAGGGUCUUCGGACUAUGGCGAUAAACGCGCGUGCAAUAAGCGGAUCGGACCCGGGGGCGGUACCCGGCGGCUCCACCAAAAGCAGGUUCAGGCGGCUCACCUUCGCCUGUUUCUGACGGGGCCGAAACA
rnacentral:tmRNA from 1 species